UCUGGAGAAGAGAGAAAUGCAGAGGGGAGAGGAGAGAGAGAGAUGAGGGGAGUGAGGACGGCUGCACCUUGCAGGCGGUGGGCUCGGCCUUAGGGCUGACCAAGGUGGCUGCAAAGCUGACGCACAGGACUGACCCUUGAAGGAGACCCAGACCCCAAAAAAGCUUCCCUGGGCUUUGCGUGCUUAGCCCUCACCAAACCCAAGCAAGAGAAAGCAGCCACCAAGCCGUGCCUGUGGAGCCACCCAGGGAGGGUAUGAGAAAGAAAAGACCACGGUAAGGUGGACAAAUGGGGAGCCAGGUGGCUACGGAAGACAGCCCCAGGCACAAAUGGAGGGAGAGCCAGCCCCAGGGGCUGCUGAACCCGCCUCGGACACUGGCCCAACUCGGCCAUGUCCCUCCGGACAAUCCCAGCUUUCCUACACCCCAAGUCCUCUACGUCUUCCACAUCCUUGCUCCAGGGAUCUGACUAAAACCACUGCUGCUUCUCCUGGCAUCAGGACACAGGCUGUCUGAGAAAACGGCAGCCUUAAAAGCACCGGGGCACAGCUCCCUCAGGCCAGGCCCUGAAUCCAACUUACUUGCUUCUGACCAUGGCUGCUCAGAACCACUGGCCUGGAGCUGGAACUAUAGCACGCAAGGGUCACAGGGCCAGGCUCAACCCUCCACCCCAGCCACACUCCUGUCUCCCACCAUGAAACCUCAGCUGAAGGGAGGCUAGGAGACACCAUCAGGGCCAAGGGUGCAGGGACCGUUCACUCCCCUCUCAUAUUCCCUAGGUCAUGCCCCAAAGGUCUCCAGCUGACCCACGUGGAAGUAUGAAGUCAGCAGCUGCUGCGUCCCAGCCUCCUGAUCCCCUCGACCUGAGAGGCUGGGAGCACCCAGGGAGGAAGGAAUGUCCCAGCUGAGCACUUCUCCAGCUUGUCUGCCUUCACUGGCUACUGCAAUCCUCAGGCAGGCUGACCCGGCCCUCCCUCCCCAUCUCCUGGCAUCACAGCAAGGCCAGGGCAUGACAGUGUCCCUGGCUCAGGGGCAAGGCACCCAAACACUGAGAUGCCAAGAUCCAGCUACCCACACUGAGGUAAGGGAGGAGAAGGAUGAGGGAGGGGCGGCAGGGCAGGGAAGAUGGAGGGUUCACAGGGCACCUUGAAAUCCGACAGCGAAGCCAUCAGCUCGUCCAGCUCCCUGGUGGCAGAGGAGGCCGAGAUGCGUGUCUGCUGUUGGGUGGAGGUGACGCGCUGCGGGCUGCUCAUCUCGCCCUGGUUCACAGUGAUGGCAGGGCUGCAGGGUGGGCACAGCAUCAGUGGGGAGCCCACAGUCAGCCCCACACUUCCCGGGGAUCAGAUCGACCUCUCACCUCGGACACUGGGGUCUCACCAUCCCCAACCCCAGGGAGGUCCACCAGCUCCCUGUCUCUCCUGGGGACCCAUCACUGGGUCAGAAGAAAGGGCAGUUCAAUGGCACCAGGAAGUGCCAGGAAGACUCCUCUAGCCCCCAGCCCAAGUGAAAGCUGGCCUGCGAAACAAGCCCAAGCGCCCUGUGUUUCCUCCACAACACUGGACAUGGAGGUGAGGCUACUGCAGUAACACGACGGCACUGGUAAGAGCUCGCGUGUUGGGCACUCACCAUGUGUGCCACGCACUACACACCAGAAACCAUUCCAAGCGCUUUACAUGGAUUACUGGUUCUCACCCUUACUGAGGUAGGUGGUCUUAUCCCAGUGAUCCCAUAAGUUCUUGUCCCAUUUUACAGAUGGGAAAACUAAGGCUUGAGAGCUGACAGUAACUGUCAGAGCCAAGAUGUGAACCCCACUGUGUGGCCCCAAAGCCUGUGCUAAGAGCUGCUAAGCUCCAGGCGCCCUCAGCCUGCACAACGUCUGUCCUUUCUGACUGGCAGUGACUGGCUGAAGGCAGGGAUGGUGUCCAUGUGACUCACCACUAUCCCCCCAGUGCCUGGCAAAUGGCAGACACGGGAGGGAGUGGGUGAUACCAGGGCUAAGGGGACAGACACUGGACCCGGGGCAGGCUGGGCCAGCCCUUCCCCACCUGGGGAGGGCCCAGUGGGUACUCACACGGGGCUGGGCACGGAGCUCUCCAGUUCAUCCAAGAGACUCUCCACACUGGGCCGCACGUCCUCCAGGCCCCGGCCCCCAUUCCGCUUAGGCUUCUCUUUCGUCAGGGGCCCAGCUUUGCCUCCCAAGGGGCUGUUAGUCUCUGGGACACCAUAGAGGGGGCUCAGGGCCCCAGGAAGCGGGGGGCUUGAGUUGGCCUCAUCUUGCAGAGAGGAGAGAAAAAGGCUGCUCAGCCCUUGAGCCCUCCUGGGAUCUAGAGGUCAGCAGAUGGGCCCUGGGCCCUGGUAGACCCUGCCCCAGGGACCCGGUCCUACCUGCAGGGAAGCCUGGCGGGUUAUGCUGUACAGCGUUCAGUUCCAGCAGCAGGCGGUCGAGUUCAGAAAGGUUGCUGCCCAGGGACGUGCUCAUUACGGUGGGUGAAGGCUCAGCUGAUUUCUGCUUGUUGGGGAAGCUUUGAGAGGCAAAGGAAAGAAGAUAGUGAGAGAUGCUUUCUGGCCUUGUACUGGCUUGGCAGUUCCCAGAUUCCCAAGGAGAACAAGGCAGAGGAGAUGCGAAGUCUUCCCCCGCAAGAGGACAGAGGGUAGGGAAGGGAUGUGGUAAGAAGAGGGGAGGAGGCCGGGCACAGUGGCUCACGCCUGUAAUCCCAGCACUUUGGGAGGCUGAGGCGGGCAGAUCAUGAGGUCAGGAGAUUGAGACCAUCCUGGCUAACACGGUGAAACCCCGUCUCUACUAAAAAUUAGCCAGGCGUGGUGGUGGGUGCCUGUAGUCCCAGCUACUUGGGAGGCUGAGGCAGGAGAAUGGCGUGAACCCAGGAGGCGGAGCUUGCAGUGAGCCGAGAUCGCGCGACUGCACUCCAGCCUGGGCGACAGAGUGACAGAGCGAGACCCCGUCUCAAAAAAAAAGAAAAAAAGAAGAGGGGAGGAAUGAAGUCUUGCUUCAGUUCCUCAGCUACACGGAGAUGCUGUGAUAGCCCAGAAUGUCCACUGCAUGGAGAUGGCACUGAUGAGGUAGACGGGCCCACCGACAGGCCUUCUGCAGCUUAAACCAGAAUAACCCCACAAGGCCCAGUUGCUAUGCCUGCUCCCGGGCCUCCGCUGCCUCCCACCCUGGCCAGGUCCCUGAGAUUUCUAAGCAGGAGGGAAGGUGCCCUGGGCAGACUGGGGCAGUACCUGUAGACGUGCUCCUCCUCACCCACUCGGGAGCACGGAGAGCCAACACUGUCCUGAGGGUUGGAGACACUGGAAGUUUUGGCACUGGAGCCGUACACAGGUGAUGAGGACUGAGGCUGCGAGAAGGAGAAUGCUCAGAGGCUACCCCGAGGGGAGAAAAAGGAACAGGGGCCAGGAGCAGCUCCAGUCACCCCCAGGAGGCUCCUGCCCACAGCCAGUCUCACCAGGGAAUUUCCACAGUUGGGCCAGGAAACCUGUGAUUAACCACUUGGUCACUGUUCCACUCACGUGGUGAGUGGGAAGAGCAGUGUCUGGUUGGGAAGGGUCGACUGCCCCAAUUCCAUUCCAUCCCCUGGCUCCCUAAGCCCCUGCCAGCUAAGUUCCCUCUGUCCCCCAGCCUCCUUGGCCUUCCCAGCCACUGUCCCCGCCUCACCUGCUGGUGGAUGAAUCGGGAGCUGCUGGGCUGCCACUGGUCUAAGGGGUCAAGGAUUGUGCCAUUGAGGGCCUCGCUGGACGGGGGUGGGGGGACGGGGGGUGGCACGGCAAUCUCCUGGUAUGUGUGGUUUCCAGUUGGGUAUGAGUAGGGGGUCUCCUCCGACAAGAACACAGGCCGUUUGGAGAUGUGGGAGGUGGUAGACUCCAAGUCCGCCAGCAGGGCGUCUGCAAAGAGAAGGCACGGGUAGCAGGUGAGAACCGGGAUCCUGGGGACUCUCCCGUGGCAGGGCCCUCCCUGCCUGCACCUCAAGAGUUAAUGCCUUCUAGCACCUGCCCCACCCAUGGGAGAAAUGACCAGCCUUGGGACAGGAAGCCACCAGCCCCGACCAGCCUAACCAAGAGCCGGCUCCCAAAGCUAACUUCUUCUGGCCACCCAGGACUGAAAGUGCUCUAGAGGCGGGCUCUGGGGCUGCCCUGUGGGAUCUCCUACCUCUGGGAGUCAGGCACCUGGCACUGCGUUCCCUCCUGACAGGGCCGCGCAGCCGCGAGUGAAGUGCCUGUCUGGAACUCUGAAUCUGCAGGGCAACGCGGAGAGAAUGGGCGGGAGGGGCCCCACGUCACAGGGAGGGGCCCUGGCUAUGCCAGGCCCUCACUUGAUUUCUAAGAGCUUAGGCUUUCCCAGCCCCCGACUGGAAGGGGCACUCAGGAUGGUCCCUGCCCUCCUAACCAGGUGGAAGCAGAAGCCCAGGCUCCAGGUUCCUCCUGAGGCUCUAGGCUUAUGGGGUAAGGUGUGCGGGGAGGUGGGGGCUGGAGUGAGGCUGGUGCAGCGGUCCCCACCCCCUCAGUGAGCAGGGGGCAAGACUGCUCCAUUGGCUGUUUCUGCGGAAGUCUGGCAAGCAGCCCGGCCCCAGAGGCUCCAGGCCCCCACUGUUCUGCUUUUAACAGCGGCAAGGGAGCCAAAUCAGCCCUCUAGUGUAAGCUUCCAUUACCCUGGCACCUGGCAGCCAACAGGGGGGCACUAGGUCUCCCCAGUCUCCAGAAAAGAAGGGUAUAGAAGGGCAGGAGUAGGACCUGCUGACCCCCACUUCCUCCAUCCCCUCCUGGGACCCUCAACAGCCCCACGGCUCAGACAGCCUGGCCCUGGAUGCCACACCCUCAUUCCUGCCCCGUUCACAACUUGCUUGCUCUCAGCUCCCCGGUAACCUGCUGGGUCCAGGGAGCUGACAGCUUGAUCCCUAGCCCUCAGGAUAAUAAACAUCUAAAAAGCAA